UGUAGGCCUCCACAUCCGUGCAGUGCACGAUUCUGCACCCCUCUCCUCCGCGAUCCUCCCCAGCGCGCAAAUCCCGUCUCCGCGCCGCCAUCAAGGGGAUCUCCUACCAACAACGGACGCCUGCGCCCCACCCUCCUCCCCACGCUGUCGAUGGAAGGUGGCCUCGGAUCCGCCCCAUCGCGCCUCCUAGGUAUGUGCCCGUGCGCCGGGGCCAGGCCAUCGACAGCCACAGCCUCACCGAGCGGCUCAAAUUAUGGAUGAAGAUGGAACUGUGUUGCCUAAUAUCCAUAUAGCUGAUUGUGGCCAUAAGAUUGGACUGAAUGGCGUUGAUAAUGGGCGGAUUUGGUGGGUGAUAUGUUAGCAUGAUAGAUAAUCCAGAUCAGGUCCCCCUCUAUCUCUCUCUGAAUAUGUUAGCAAUCUUGAUUUCUUAUUCUUCUUAUUGACGGAGCAAGACCUACAUACGACUAUUAAAGAAAUCCAGAGGAAUGACACAGUCGAGGCCGCCACCCACCCCCAUCCUUGGUCGCAUCUUCCUCGUUUUAGAAUCGCCCAUUUGGACCUUUGUCACCUCGGACAACAGAAUCCCUGCUACUCUCCCCCCCAUAAGUUUUGUAGAUUGUUUUGUCCUACUGCCUACUAUCUGACUUGAGGAAGUACCAAGGGGUUUCGGUUCCGUCUUUAGUGGCACAAACAAGAUUGGUGAUGGUGGUUUCGGUUCUGUCUUCAGUGACGCAAACAAGAUUGGCCACUUCUAUCAUACGUGGUAAUUUGCAAUAUGCUUAUCUAAGUGCACUAAGAAGGCUUUCACUUGAUCCUGGUAAUCAAACAUUCCUCCAACGAGAUGUGCAAGGGUGAGUCUGGACUUAACGUAUUUGUAAAACUAAUUUUACCACCUUGUAUUAUGGACCCUGUUUAUUUUCAAGUUCUCAACUAUUCAAUACAAGGGGUUGAAGAAUUAUUUAUGAUUUCUUGUCUUUAGUUGUCUUUAUAAAUGUGAAAAAACCAACAUUGACGUGACUUCUAAACCGGUUGAUGAUUUUAAUUCAUCUCUUCUUUUUUCAUGUUUCUGGAUUCAACUAUCUACCAAGAUGAACGGUAUUAUCAAACAUCUACCUGUUCUAUGAAAAGAAAAUACUGUUGCGGCCAUGGGCCUAUGUUAUUCCACCUAUCGUUUCUCUGAAAAAAGUGAGAAAUAUUGUAGAGGAUUGCAUAAAGAAUGUGAAGAAAAAAUGCUAUAGGUCUGUGUUGUUCCACCUCUCGUUUACGUGAAACAAGUGAAAAGGAUUAUAGACGAUUGCAUGAAGAAUGUAAAGCAAAAAUGCUACAGGUUGUGUUGUUCUACCUCUUCUUUUCCCUGUUCUUUUUCCGGUCGACAAAAUGGUGGUUAAGCUAUUGCUAUAUUGCUAACCUAAUUGAUUUACAAAUUCAGUUUGAGGAACCUUCGUUACAGUGCAUGGUUACUUUGUUUCUAUGACUUGGAUAAAUACAGUUACUUCUUUUUGGUGUGCGUGACCACUGAAUGUCUUUAAGGUUUGCCUCAUGUUGAAGUUGUUUUUCUUCAUGUUUUACCAUGUUCCUAUAUAUUACUAAUAGGGUCUUGGUACAGAGCUAUAAUCAAGAUAGCUGAUUUAGUGUAUUGUUUGAUGUAGAUAUCUGCGUUAAGGAAUUGACAUGGGAAUUUUUAGCCAGGGGAUCAUAUCAAGGAGAGCUUUAGGUGGCCUUUUUUGCUGAAAAGCUUUGCAACUGUUUGCAAUGGGUUUAGGAGAUAUUCUCCGCAAUGAUAUGUCCAGUUUGUCGUGGCAUCUAUAAUUGCAGUAUAUGCAGAACUAAGAAAGGAUGGUUCCCUACUGGUUCUGCAUGUAGGAAGGCGGUCGGACUUGGGUACAAAUCUGUAGCACACUUUCUAAUUGCCAAGCAUAAUAACAAACAAGUGCCACUGAUAUAGUGAACAACGCGGAGGAGCUCCAAUAAUCUGAUGUGGGAACAGGACCUGCCAUGUUUGAGGAUAAGAAGAUAGGUGAUGAGUUCUUUUCCUUUAUUGUUGACUGUAAAGAUCUGAAGGCAUGUACUAUUUUGUUGAUGGGAGCAAGUUGAAAAUUGGUGCCCACUAAAAGUCUGGUGAUCUAGCUGGAUGAAAUUGUCGACAAGGCCAUUAGCAUCAUGCAAGUUACCUCGAAGCAUCUCAUGUAUAUAUGCAAGAAGCCGCACUCACGGAAAAGGCAUUGAGUGCAAUAGAGGUGAAGGAACUGCGUGAAGCCCUUUAAGCAAUUGCUAAAGGUUUGGACCUAGAUUCACUCUUGUGCCAGAGUUUGGUGUAGUCCUCGAUUAUAAACUGUGUACCAUGUUAAUGUAGUGACAUAGUUUGUAUGAUGCAAUUCAUAGUGAUGUUGUUUGAAGCUGUUUGUAUGGAUUAUGAUGUCUGAUGCAGUUUGUAUGAACUAUGUCAUAUUAUGUUGAAUGAAGCUAUUGAAUGCCC